UACGUAGGGUGCAAGCGUUAAUCGGAAUUACUGGGCGUAAAGCGUGCGCAGGCGGCUUUGCAAGACAGAUGUGAAAUCCCCGGGCUUAACCUGGGAACUGCAUUUGUGACUGCAUGGCUGGAGUGCGGCAGAGGGGGAUGGAAUUCCGCGUGUAGCAGUGAAAUGCGUAGAGAUGCGGAGGAACACCGAUGGCGAAGGCAGCCCCCUGGGCCGACACUGACGCUCAGGCACGAAAGCGUGGGGAGCAAACAGG
rnacentral:rRNA from 1 species